rnacentral:piRNA from 1 species
AUGUCACAGUAAUAAACAAGGGUACAGAUGGU